rnacentral:rRNA from 1 species
GAUGAACGCUAGCGGCAGGCCUAAUACAUGCAAGUCGAACGGUAACAGGUGUAGCAAUACAUGCUGACGAGUGGCGCACGGGUGCGUAACACGUAUGCAACUUUCCUUCAACUGGUGAAUAGCCCCUCGAAAGAGGGAUUAAUACACCAUAAUAUAAUGAGAUGGCAUCAUCUUAUUAUUAAAACUCCGGUGGUUGAAGAUGGGCAUGCGCAACAUUAGCUAGUUGGUGAGGUAAAUGGCUCACCAAGGCUACGAUGUUUAGGGGUUCUAAGAGGAUUAACCCCCACACUGGUACUGAGACACGGACCAGACUCCUACGGGAGGCAGCAGUAAGGAAUAUUGGACAAUGGUGGCAACACUGAUCCAGCCAUGCCGCGUGCAGGAUGAAGGCCCUAUGGGUUGUAAACUGCUUUUAUACGGGAAAAAACCUCUCUACGUGUAGAGAGCUGAUGGUACCGUAAGAAUAAGGAUCGGCUAACUCCGUGCCAGCAG